CCGAAACUUGGGUUAAUGCACUUGAUGGCAGGGAGUUUUUAGGGGGCACCAAGCCUAAUGUGGCUGACCUUGCCGUGUUUGGAGUAUUGAGACCCAUUCGUUAUCUGAGAUCAGGUAAGGAUAUGGUUGAGCACACACGAGUGGAGAAUGUUGUUGGUGCAUCUUCAAGGAUACAAACCUAAUUUUCAUGUUGUAUUCAUCUUGAAGGCCAAGUGAUAUGCAAGAAGCAAAGUAUAUAUACAUUUUUGUCUUCCGUCUUGACUAAGUCGUGUUGAAAAACUUCAAAGUUAAUUUUGUUGCUAUGAAUUCGUAGCAUGAAACGAGUUGUAUUGCGAUUC